CGAACGGGUGAGUAAUGCGUGACCAACCUGCCCCAUGCUCCAGAAUAGCUCUUGGAAACGGGUGGUAAUGCUGGAUGCUCCAACUUGACGCAUGUCUUGUUGGGAAAGUGUUUAGUGGCAUGGGAUGGGGUCGCGCCCUAUCAGCUUGUAGGCGGGGUAAUGGCCCACCUAGGCUUCGACGGGUAGCCGGCCUGAGAGGGCGGACGGCCACAUUGGGACUGAGAUACGGCCCAGACUCCUACGGGAGGCAGCAGCC
rnacentral:rRNA from 1 species